rnacentral:rRNA from 1 species
AGUGAACGCUGGCGGUAGGCCUAACACAUGCAAGUCGAACGGCAGCACAGUAAGAGCUUGCUCUUACGGGUGGCGAGUGGCGGACGGGUGAGGAAUACAUCGGAAUCUACUUUUUCGUGGGGGGUAACGUAGGGAAACUUACGCUAAUACCGCAUACGACCUACGGGUGAAAGCAGGGGAUCUUCGGACCUUGCGCGAUUGACUGAGCCGAUGUCGGAUUAGCUAGUUGGCGGGGUAAAGGCCCACCAAGGCGACGAUCCGUAGCUGGUCUGAGAGGAUGAUCAGCCACACUGGAACUGAGACACGGUCCAGACUCCUACGGGAGGCAGCAGUGGGGAAUAUUGGACAAAGGGCGCAAGCCUGAUCCAGCCAUACCGCGUGGGUGAAGAAGGCCUUCGGGUUGUAAAGCCCUUUUGUUGGGAAAGAAAAGCAGCAGGUUAAUACCCCGCUGUUCUGACGGUACCCAAAGAAUAAGCACCGGCUAACUUCGUG